rnacentral:ncRNA from 1 species
UUCUUCGGGGCGGGGUGUGAUUCCCCACCGGCGGUAGAGUCCGCGAACCGCGUAAGGCGGCUGAUCCGGUGUGAUUCCGGAACCGACAGUAUAGUCUGGAUGAGAGAAGAA